rnacentral:rRNA from 1 species
UACGAAGGGGGCUAGCGUUGUUCGGAAUCACUGGGCGUAAAGCGCACGCAGGCGGAUUGAUAAGUCAGGGGUGAAAUCCUGGAGCUCAACUCCAGAACUGCCUUUGAUACUGGCGACCUUGAGUUCGGGAGAGGUGAGUGGAACUGCGAGUGUAGAGGUGAAAUUCGUAGAUAUUCGCAAGAACACCAGUGGCGAAGGCGGCUCACUGGCCCGAUACUGACGCUGAGGUGCGAAAGCGUGGGGAGCAAACAGG